rnacentral:rRNA from 1 species
CAGGCUUAACACAUGCAAGUCGAGGGGCAGCAUGGUCUUAGCUUGCUAAGGCCGAUGGCGACCGGCGCACGGGUGAGUAACACGUAUCCAACCUGCCGUCUACUCUUGGACAGCCUUCUGAAAGGAAGAUUAAUACAAGAUGGCAUCAUGAGUCCGCAUGUUCACAUGAUUAAAGGUAUUCCGGUAGACGAUGGGGAUGCGUUCCAUUAGAUAGUAGGCGGGGUAACGGCCCACCUAGUCUUCGAUGGAUAGGGGUUCUGAGAGGAAGGUCCCCCACAUUGGAACUGAGACACGGUCCAAACUCCUACGGGAGGCAGCAGUGAGGAAUAUUGGUCAAUAGGCGAGAGCCUGAACCAGCCAAGUAGCGUGAAGGAUGACUGCCCUAUGGGUUGUAAACUUCUUUUAUAAAGGAAUAAAGUCGGGUAUGGAUACCCGUUUGCAUGUACUUUAUGAAUAAGGAUCGGCUAACUCCGUGCCAGCAGCCGCGGUAAUACGGAGGAUCCGAGCGUUAUCCGGAUUUAUUGGGUUUAAAGGGAGCGUAGAUGGAUGUUUAAGUCAGUUGUGAAAGUUUGCGGCUCAACCGUAAAAUUGCAGUUGAUACUGGAUAUCUUGAAUGCAGUUGAGGCAGGCGGAAUUCGUGGUGUAGCGGUGAAAUGCUUAGAUAUCACGAAGAACUCCGAUUGCGAAGGCAGCCUGCUAAGCUGCAACUGACAUUGAGGCUCGAAAGUGUGGGUAUCAAACAGGAUUAGAUACCCUGGUAGUCCACACGGUAAACGAUGAAUACUCGCUGUUUGCGAUAUACGGCAAGCGGCCAAGCGAAAGCGUUAAGUAUUCCACCUGGGGAGUACGCCGGCAACGGUGAAACUCAAAGGAAUUGACGGGGGCCCGCACAAGCGGAGGAACAUGUGGUUUAAUUCGAUGAUACGCGAGGAACCUUACCCGGGCUUAAAUUGCAGAUGAAUUACGGUGAAAGCCGUAAGCCGCAAGGCAUCUGUGAAGGUGCUGCAUGGUUGUCGUCAGCUCGUGCCGUGAGGUGUCGGCUUAAGUGCCAUAACGAGCGCAACCCUUGUUGUCAGUUACUAACAGGUUCCGCUGAGGACUCUGACAAGACUGCCAUCGUAAGAUGUGAGGAAGGUGGGGAUGACGUCAAAUCAGCACGGCCCUUACGUCCGGGGCUACACACGUGUUACAAUGGGGGGUACAGAGGGCCGCUACCACGCGAGUGGAUGCCAAUCCCCAAAACCUCUCUCAGUUCGGACUGGAGUCUGCAACCCGACUCCACGAAGCUGGAUUCGCUAGUAAUCGCGCAUCAGCCACGGCGCGGUGAAUACGUUCCCGGGCCUUGUACACACCGCCCGUCAAGCCAUGGGAGCCGGGGGUACCUGAAGUGCGUAACCGCGAGGAGCGCCCUAGGGUAAAACUGGUGACUGGGGCUAA